rnacentral:lncRNA from 1 species
UGUGUUGUUGAACUCUUUUUUUUGGAAUGAAUUAUUGGAAUGCUUGAAUUUGGAUUCUUGAUGGAGCUUUGAGCGCAUGGCUUGGCUUGUUAAUGGAGCUUUGAUUGUUCAUUAGGAUUGUACUUGUAGGGUUUAUGUAAUAUGAUGAACUUGUAAGAAAAUGUUGUGAAAUGUAAUUUGGAACAUGACUUUGUAAUUUAUGGAAAUUUUGUAAUGCUUGUGUAAUGUCAUGGUUUUGUGAUUUAUGUGCUUUGAGCGCAAAUGUAUUUUGGAAUUGGAAUGAAAUUGGCAAAUGCAAUGGUUAUCUAGUGU